AUUUAUAUAGUUUAUAUUAAAACAUUACAUUUUCAAUGUAAAAAAAAAAAUUUUUUUUUAUAAAUA
rnacentral:tRNA from 1 species